rnacentral:rRNA from 1 species
UACGUAGGGGGCGAGCGUUGUCCGGAUUUAUUGGGCGUAAAAGGCUUGUAGGUGGCCACGCGAAGUCGGAUGUGAAAUCUCCCGGCUCAACUGGGAGGGGUCAUUCGAUACUGGCGGGCUCGAGGCCGGUAGAGGCAAGCGGAAUUCCGGGUGUAGCGGUGGAAUGCGUAGAGAUCCGGAAGAACACCGGAGGCGAAGGCGGCUUGCUGGGCUCGGUCUGACGCUGAGGCGCGAAAGCUAGGGGAGCGAACAGG